rnacentral:rRNA from 3 species
GAUGAACGCUAGCGGCAGGCCUAACACAUGCAAGUCGAGGGACCGGCGUACGGGUGCGUAACGCGUAUACAAUCUGCCUUUCACUGGGGGAUAGCCCGAAGAAAUUUGGAUUAAUACCCCAUAGUUAAAGGUGGUGAAAGAUGAGUAUGCGUUCUAUUAGCUAGUUGGAGAGGUAACGGCUCCCCAAGGCGAUGAUAGAUAGGGGUUCUGAGAGGGAUGUCCCCCACACUGGUACUGAGAUACGGACCAGACUCCUACGGGAGGCAGCAGUGAGGAAUAUUGGACAAUGGUCGGAAGACUGAUCCAGCCAUGCCGCGUGCAGGAUGACGGCCUAUGGGUUGUAAACUGCUUUUGUAAGGGAAGAUGACGGUACCUUACGAAUAAGCAUCGGCUAACUCCGUGCCAGCAGCCGCGGUAAUACGGAGGAUGCGAGCGUUAUCCGGAAUCAUUGGGUUUAAAGGGUCUGUAGGCGGGCUGGUAAGUCAGAGGUGAAAGCGCUUAGCUCAACUAAGCAACUGCCUUUGAAACUGUUGGUCUUGAAUGGUUGUGAAGUAGUUGGAAUGUGUAGUGUAGCGGUGAAAUGCUUAGAUAUUACACAGAACACCGAUAGCGAAGGCAUAUUACUAACAAUAUUGACGCUGAUGGACGAAAGCGUGGGGAGCGAACAGGAUUAGAUACCCUGGUAGUCCACGCUGUAAACGAUGGAUACUAGCUGUUUGGUAUUGAGUGGCUAAGCGAAAGUGAUAAGUAUCCCACCUGGGGAGUACGUUCGCAAGAAUGAAACUCAAAGGAAUUGACGGGGGCCCGCACAAGCGGUGGAGCAUGUGGUUUAAUUCGAUGAUACGCGAGGAACCUUACCAAGGUUUAAAUGGUCAAGGUGCUGCAUGGUUGUCGUCAGCUCGUGCCGUGAGGUGUCAGGUUAAGCCCUAUAACGAGCGCAACCCCUGCCAUUAGUUGCUAACGAUCGAGCCCUCUAAUGGGACUGCCGGUGCAAACCGGAGGAAGGUGGGGAUGACGUCAAAUCAUCACGGCCCUUACAUCUUGGGCUACACACGUGCUACAAUGGCCGUCAGAGAGCAGCCACUGCGUGAGCAGGCGCGAAUCUAUACGGUCACAGUUCGGACGGAGUCUGCAACUCGACUCCGGAAGCUGGAAUCGCUAGUAAUCGGAUAUCAGCCAUGAUCCGGUGAAUACGUUCCCGGGCCUUGUACACACCGCCCGUCAAGCCAUGGAAGCUGGGAGUACCUGAAGACGGUUGCUGUUUAGGGUAAAACUAGUGACUGGGGC